rnacentral:rRNA from 1 species
UACGGGGGGAGCAAGCGUUGUUCGGAUUUACUGGGCGUAAAGGGCGCGUAGGCGGCGCAACAAGUCACUUGUGAAAUCUCCGGGCUUAACCCGGAGCGGCCAAGUGAUACUGUCGUGCUAGAGUGCGGAAGGGGCUACUGGAAUUCUCGGUGUAGCGGUGAAAUGCGCAGAUAUCAGGAGGAACACCGGUGGCGAAGGCGGGUCUCUGGGCCGAUACUGACGCUGAGGCGCGAAAGCCAGGGGAGCGAACGGG